rnacentral:rRNA from 1 species
GACGAACGCUGGCGGCGUGCUUAACACAUGCAAGUCGAACGGAAAGGCCCUGCUUUUGUGGGGUGCUCGAGUGGCGAACGGGUGAGUAACACGUGAGUAACCUGCCCUUGACUUUGGGAUAACUUCAGGAAACUGGGGCUAAUACCGUAUAGGAUCUCCUGCUCCAUGGUGGGGGUUGGAAAGUUUCGGCGGUUGGGGAUGGACUCGCGGCUUAUCGGCUUGUUGGUGGGGUAGUGGCUUACCAAGGCUUUGACGGGUAGCCGGCCUGAGAGGGUGACAGGACACAAUGGGACUGAGAGACGGACCAGACUCCUACGGGAGGCAGCAGUGGGGAAUAUGGCACAAUGGGCGGAAGCCGGAUGAAGAAACGCCGCGUGCGGGAUGACGGCCUUCGGGUUGUAAACCGCAUUCGCCUGUGACGAAGCGUGAGUGACGGUAAUGGGUAAAGAAGCACCGGCUAACUACGUG